AUUGAACGCUGGCGGCAGGCCUAACACAUGCAAGUCGAGCGGAGCGGCGGACGGGUGAGUAAUGCCUAGGAAUCUGCCUGGUAGUGGGGGAUAACGUCCGGAAACGGGCGCUAAUACAGCAUACUAUCAGAUGAGGCUAGGUCGGAUUAGCUAGUUGGUGGGGUAAAGGCCUACAAAGGCGACGACCCGUAGCUGGUCUUAGAGGAUGAUCAGUCACACUGGAACUGAGACACGGUCCAGACUCCUACGGGAGGCAGCAGUGGGGAAUAUUGGACAAUGGGCGAAAGCCGGAUGCAGCCAUGCCGCGUGUAUGAAGAAGGCCUUCGGGUUGUAAAGUACUUUCAGCGAGGAGGCGUUACUCGCAGAAGAAGCACCGGCUAACUCCGUGCCAGCAGCCGCGGUAAUAC
rnacentral:rRNA from 1 species